rnacentral:sRNA from 1 species
AUACAUACAGAUAACAAUUUGUGUUUACAUAUUUUUUUGAGAAUAACAAAGAGGAAAAUUCCAACUUCUAUUUAACUUUUUAUGUUCAUAUCUGAUCGCGUUUGUCGUACUAAUAUAUUGGUGGUUGGUGUUUUUUGCUAAUGGAGGAAAAUACUCAACUAGCAAUUCUUGAGAAGGUUUAGAAAAAGGACUGAAUCGAUUAUUUGAUUACUACCCAGAUUAUUUCUAAUUGGAAUAUUAUUUUUCGUUAAACCAAGAUACAUGCGUAGAAUUUGAAAUAAUCUCUUUUAAAAUAGUCAUAAUUGAAACUAUGGAAUACACGGACAGACUAUGACUCAUUUGAUUAAUUCUUUUCUCAUUUCGGCAUUAUGUUUCAUAUCCAAUCGUGUGUUAUAUAAUUGAUGCAAGCCUUAUUUAUUGUAUUAAAUUAAAAUGCUUAACUUAAGUAAGAACUCUAUUUUUUCUGAAACGUUUUCCAAGAAGCAAAUUUGUUUUGACAUAUGUUAAGUUUAGGGUUUAUGCUCGGAAUAUUGCAUUCGAAAGUUGGGAUAUAAUAUACGUUAUUAGACCGGAUCUUUUUAAAAUCCCCGAAAAGUGAAAGACCCAUUAUAGCGUCUAUAUACAAUUUUAUAGUCUGUAAAAAAUGUAUAUGUAUAUGUACAUAUAGCUGGCCCAGUCCGCGUUGCU